rnacentral:rRNA from 1 species
GAUGAACGCUGGCGGCGUGCCUAAUGCAUGCAAGUCGAGCGAACGGACGAGAAGCUUGCUUCUCUGAUGUUAGCGGCGGACGGGUGAGUAACACGUGGAUAACCUACCUAUAAGACUGGGAUAACUUCGGGAAACCGGAGCUAAUACCGGAUAAUAUUUUGAACUGCAUGGUUCAAAAGAGAAUGACGGUCUUGCUGUCACUUAUAGAUGGAUCCGCGCUGCAUUAGCUAGUUGGUAAGGUAACGGCUUACCAAGGCAACGAUGCAUAGCCGACCUGAGAGGGUGGUAGGCCGCACUGGAAGUGGACCAGGGUCCAGAGGCCUACGGUAGGGAGCAGUAGGGAAUGGUACGCAAUGGGCGAGAGCCUUGCGGAACGGCGCGGAGUGAGUGAUGAAGGUCUUCGGAUCGUAAAACUCUGUUAUUAGGGGAAAACAUAUGUGUAAGUAACUGUGCACAGCUUGACGGUACCUAGUCAAAAAGCCACGGCUAACUACGUG